GCUGGGCAUGGUGGUGCAUGCCUGUAAUCCCAGCUACUUGGGAGGCUGAGACAGGAGAAUCGCUUGAACCCAGGAGGCAGAGGUUAUAGUGAGCCGAGACCGCGCCACUGCACUCCAGCCUGGGCAACAGAGUGAGACUCCGUCUCAA
rnacentral:SRP_RNA from 1 species